CUUUCACUGAUCCUUUAAUUCCUGUAAUUUAAAUACUGACAUUUCUGAAGGUGCAUGGAAAGUUCUGGAAAUGUUUUUUUGUUGCACAGAAACACAGACUGUAAGAAGGUCUUGAAUACGACUCCCUGUUGGGAAAAAGGCACUCAUUUUGGCUCCUGUUAAGUUCCAUUAACAGCUAAAUGGAAGCAAUGUGUGUGAACGUUCUUAAUUUAAAACCUUAAAAACAAACAGAACAGCUUCACUUCGGCCGCCAUUUUUGCAGAAACUAAGAAAUGAUCAGAACGACUAUCAAAUCCAUCAAAACAAACAUUUUGUGAUGUUUAACAAUAUGGAAGACGUGCUGUGCAUUAGUAAAUAGAAGACAAGCUUCUUAAUAGAUUUAUUUACAUUUUAAUGAUGGAACGUUUAAUAUUGAGAAAAGUAGCAUCAAAAGCAGUAUAUUAUAGAUAUUACAAUAUUUUAAUAUGACAUUAUAUAUCAUAAUAUAUAGUUAUUAGAUCAUCUAAUAAAUAUAUCAUACUAUAUAGUGCAUAUACAAUUUGCAUUGCAUGUAUUUUCAUAUUAAGUUAUAGAACAGUCCGGCAUCUUUAAGGCAUCAGUGACGUCUCAUUUGUUUGAUGUGGUUAGAGUUACAGUGAAAUUACUGCUUUCAAUGCUGUUUUGGUCAAUAUUACACAAAUAGUUAUGUAAAUUAAACCACGAGACAUCUCAUUUACUGCUUCAUAUAUUGUUAAAUGUAACAGUUGUUGUUUGAUCAGGUGGAUUUGAGUCACCCAGUGCCAUUAUAAAUAUAUAUAUAUAUAUACUGUAUAUAUCUCAGCACUCAUGGAAUGUCUCUUGUCCAAUCAAAUUACUUAGAGUGCUCUAAAGCAGGGGUUCUCAACCUUGGGGUCAGGACCCCAUUUGAAAUGCCUAUUUUUGCCCUUUAUCUGCAACUACACCAAACUUGCCAUAUUUUAACCUAUAUUUAUCACUUUUUCCACUCCUUCAUCCAAUGUCAAUGCUUUUUCUGCCAUUUCAAGACAUUUUUGGCCCUUAUAAACCCUUUCCACCAUUUUUCACACCUAAUGUAGCAUAAUUACUUUGAUCCAUUAUUGUUACUUUGAACAUCUUUUCACCAUAUUUCAUGCUUAUUUUUGCCAGCUUAACCACAUUAGCAAUUUGUCAUGUCCAUGAUUUGCCAGUUUAAAAUAAAUAAGUGUUAUUUAAUACUUUUUAAAUUACA
rnacentral:lncRNA from 1 species